UUGGGUUUUCGAUUUAUAUAAAUGGUUCUUCGAUUCUGUCAUAUCUUCUUCAAAAGCAAAAACAAGAGUGGACACACUGAAAUGUCUCGUUUGUCUCGUGUUCAUAAUAUAAUUUAUGAUGAAAGUAUAAAAAACAUUGUAUACCCCAAGCAUUACAUUAUUGCUGUUUACAGUUUAUCUACAUCUAUAAUAAUAUUCAAGAUAAUAACCAAAAACAGCAAAAUUUCCAUAAAAUUACCAAUUCAGGGGCGGCAACCCAACAACGGAUUGUCCGAUU
rnacentral:lncRNA from 1 species